GUAGACGGCCAUCUUAGGCUGAAAGCACCGUAUCCCGUCUGCUCUGCGAAGUUAAGCAGCCUCAAGCUCGGGUAGUACUCGGGUGGGUGACCACCGGGGAAGUCCGGGUGCUGUCUACUUUUU
rnacentral:rRNA from 1 species